AUUGAACGCUGGCGGCAGGCCUAACACAUGCAAGUCGAACGAGUGGCGGACGUGUGAGAAAUAUGUGGAAAACUACCUGCGGGAGGGGUAUAAAUACGGGACAGGGACGAUAAUUCCGCAUACUAUCAGAUGUGCACAGAUGGGAUGAGCUUGGAGGUGGGGUAACGGCUCACCAAGGCGACGAUCCCUAGCUGGUCUGAGAGGAGGACCAGCCACACUGGAACUGAGACACGGUCCAGACUCCUACGGGAGGCAGCAGUGGGGAAUAUUGCACAAUGGGCGCAAGCCUGAUGCAGCCAUGCCGCGUGUAUGAAGAAGGCCUUCGGGUUGUAAAGUACUUUCAGCGGGGAGGCGUUACCCGCAGAAGAAGCACCGGCUAACUCCGUGCCAGCAGCCGCGGUAAUUC
rnacentral:rRNA from 1 species